CUCGGAGCCUGAGUGAAAUUGAAGUCGCGUGUUUGCAUUAGUUUUUUGAAUUGCUGCUGGGGCUGGGGCUGCGUGAUCGUCACUGGCGUCCUCCAGAGUGCCCACCGAUCGGAAAGUCGUACGAACCGCAAGCUUUGAACGUCUGUUUAUCGCAACAUCGAAAGCGGUGGCACAGAAGACGCGAUGUGAGCUCCGGUGGGAACAGCAGCCCUUUGUCUCGUAACGGAUGUUGCUAUCUCUACAAUAGCCGGAGAAGACGAAACAAGUUUUGCAAUGCACACGGACUGGCUCAGUUGUGAAUGUCACAAAUGCUCCCCUAACGAGGAUCAAAUCAAUGAAAGGAUGGCCUUGAUAAAUAAUAUUCAUGAGGCGAAGAGGAAGUACCCAUACAUGAUGAGCUUUGAGAGGUGACUUUGCAAGACUGACUAAGAUUGACCCAUCACCUUGUAUUGCAAAAGGGAUCAACAAAAUUGUGAAAAUGGCAGAAAUGAAACACAUCCCUUGCGAAGCAAGUGUAAUGGCAUCACUUCAAAAGGCUCGUGAGAUGUCACCGGAGAGGCUGCGAACCCGACGACCCGAGCGUUCCUGCAACCUCUUGCAUCGUAUUUUCUGGAGAAGACGUUGAAGAGGCUGACCUCCACAUCAAGGUGGACCGCGAGAUGUUUGCAGUGAAAAAUGGGGAGGAGGGGCUGGCGGCUGUUUUAUCUGCUUACUGGCUCUUCAAUAUCCAGUACGACCGCAAGCUGUUCAACACUCUUCUCGUGUUGGAGCGCCUUUUCCUUGGGCUCACAUUGAGUACCCUAUAGAGUAGUGGCUACAAAGUUCUUGAACAAUGUUGCCAAAUGUGUGCCAUGUUUAAUGUGCUGAAGCUGUGCACUGUUACCUCAUCAUGAGUUUAGCUGUAAUUUUCAGAUGCAAGUUUUGUUUUGUCUAACCAUUUCUGCAAUACAUAUGAAGGAAGCCAACAGUCACCGAUAACAAGGCAAGCUUA
rnacentral:lncRNA from 1 species